AUGUGUGGCACUUCCCUCCCUGACUCUGCCUGGGGCUCUGCCCUGCUUUGUUAGGUUGCUGUCUUUCUCCUGGGAACAAGUCCAGCAAAUUCUGGGGUUGUCCAGACUCCAAGACACGUAAUCAAAGAAAAGGGAGAAGGGUCUAUUCUGAAAUGUAUUCCCAUCUCUGGACACAAUAAUGUGUUCUGGUACCAACAGACUCCGGGGCGGGAAAUGAAGUUCCUCAUUCAGCAUUAUGAAACAUCGGAGGGGGAAAAAGGAACCAUACCCAACCGUUUCUCAGUCCAGCAGUUCAGUGACUAUCACUCUGAGAUGAACAUGAGUGCCUUGGAGCUGGAGGACUCUGCUGUGUACUUCUGUGCCAGCUCACCACAGCCUUUCAUGGUUACUGGCUUUCUGUACCUUAAUCUUCCUGUUCUACCUUAUGACAUAAGAUGA